GAGCGUUNUCCGGAUUUAUUGGGCGUAAAGGGAGCGCAGGCGGUCAGGAAAGUCUGGAGUAAAAGGCUAUGGCUCAACCAUAGUGUGCUCUGGAAACUGUNUGACUUGAGUGCAGAAGGGGAGAGUGGAAUUCCAUGUGUAGCGGUGAAAUGCGUAGAUAUAUGGAGGAACACCAGUGGCGAAAGCGGCUCUCUGGUCUGUCACUGACGCUGAGGCUCGAAAGCGUGGGUAGCGAACAGGAUUAGAUACCCUGGUAGUCCACGCCGUAAACGAUGAGUGCUAGGUGUUAGGCCCUUUCCGGGGCUUAGUGCCGGAGCUAACGCAAUAAGCACUCCGCCUGGGGAGUACGACCGCAAGGUUGAAACUCAAAGGAAUUGACGGGGGCCCGCACAAGCGGUGGAGCAUGUGGUUUAAUUCGAAGCAACGCGAAGAACCUUACCAGGUCUUGACAUCCCGAUGCUAUUCUUAGAGAUAGGAAGUUACUUCGGUACAUCGGAGACAGGUGGUGCAUGGUUGUCGUCAGCUCGUGUCGUGAGAUGUUGGGUUAAGUCCCGCAACGAGCGCAACCCUUAUUGUUAGUUGCCAUCAUUAAGUUGGGCACUCUAGCGAGACUGCCGGUAAUAAACCGGAGGAAGGUGGGGAUGACGUCAAAUCAUCAUGCCCCUUAUGACCUGGGCUACACACGUGCUACAAUGGUCGGUACAACGAGUUGCGAGCCGGUGACGGCAAGCUAAUCUCUGAAAGCCGAUCUCAGUUCGGAUUGGAGGCUGCAACUCGCCUCCAUGAAGUCGGAAUCGCUAGUAAUCGCGGAUCAGCACGCCGCGGUGAAUACGUUCCCGGGCCUUGUACACACCGCCCGUCACACCACGAGAGUUUGUAACACCCGAAGUCGGUGAGGUAACCUUUU
rnacentral:rRNA from 1 species